rnacentral:rRNA from 1 species
GAUGAACGCUGGCGGCGUGCCUAAUACAUGCAAGUCGAGCGAGAAAUUGAGAAAUGAAGCUUCGGUAGAUUUUCUUGAUGGAAAGCGGCGGACGGGUGAGUAACGCGUAGGCAACCUGCCCUUCACACAGGGAUAGCCAUUGGAAACGGUGAUUAAUACCUGAUAAUGCCGGAGCAAUGCAUAUUGCACCGGCCAAAGAUUUAUCGGUGAAGGAUGGGCCUGCGUCUGAUUAGCUAGUUGGUGAGGUAACGGCCCACCAAGGCGACGAUCAGUAGCCGACCUGAGAGGGUGAUCGGCCACAUUGGAACUGAGACACGGUCCGAACUCCUACGGGAGGCAGCAGUAGGGAAUCUUGCACAAUGGGCGAAAGCCUGAUGCAGCAACGCCGCGUGAAGGAUGAAGGCCUUCGGGUUGUAAACUUCUGUUCUUAGGGAAGAAGAAAGUGACGGUACCUAAGGAGCAAGCCCCGGCUAACUACGUGCCAGCAGCCGCGGUAAUACGUAGGGGGCAAGCGUUAUCCGGAAUUAUUGGGCGUAAAGCGUGCGUAGGUGGUUACCUAAGCGCAAGGUUUAAACUAUCGGCUUAACUGAUAAUUGCCUUGCGAACUGGGCUACUUGAGUGCAGGAGGGGAAAGCGGAAUUCCUAGUGUAGCGGUGAAAUGCGUAGAUAUUAGGAGGAACACCAGCGGCGAAGGCGGCUUUCUGGACUGUAACUGACACUGAGGCACGAAAGCGUGGGGAGCAAACAGGAUUAGAUACCCUGGUAGUCCACGCCGUAAACGAUGAGCACUAGGUGUUGGGGCCGAAUGGCUUCAGUGCCGCAGUUAACGCAUUAAGUGCUCCGCCUGGGGGAGUACGCUCGCAAGAGUAAAACUCAAAGGAAUUGACGGGGACCCGCACAAGCAGCGGAGCAUGUGGUUUAAUUCGAAGCAACGCGAAGAACCUUACCAGGGCUUGACAUCCCUCUGAAAGACUCCUUAACCGGAGUCCCUCUUCGGACAGAGGUGACAGGUGGUGCAUGGUUGUCGUCAGCCUCGUGUCGUGAGAUGUUGGGUUAAGUCCCGCAACGAGCGCAACCCUUGUUGCUAGUUACUAACAUUAAGUUGAGGACUCUAGCAAGACUGCCGAGGUCAACUCGGAGGAAGGUGGGGAUGACGUCAAAUCAUCAUGCCCCUUAUGUUCUGGGCUACACACGUGCUACAAUGGUCGGUACAAUGAGAAGCAAUACGGCGACGUGGAGCAAAUCACCAAAACCGAUCCCAGUUCGGAUUGCAGGCUGAAACUCGCCUGCAUGAAGUUGGAGUUGCUAGUAAUCGCGGAUCAGCAUGCCGCGGUGAAUGCGUUCCCGGGUCUUGUACACACCGCCCGUCACACCAUGGAAGUUGGGGGUGCCCAAAGUUGGACAGUUAAUAGUUUACCUAAGGCAAAACCAAUGACU